AGCGACUCCCGUCUCCUGGACUUGCUACUCCCGCAGCCCUAGGAACAGCCGCCGGCACCGCCAGCCCUCACGGCCUCACCACUACUUAUGGAGCGGCACUUCAGCAGCCAACGCCACCACUGGACAGUGGCAGUCCAACGCCCCAACUACAUAUCCCCUCGACCCCUCCAUCUCUGCUUCUCCACGCACGCACGGGAACGACGGCGGGCUGGCGACGGCGGCGGGCCGGCGCAAGGUUCUGAGCUGCGAUGCGGAGCGGCGCAACGUGCAAUAGCGCUGCUGCGCGCAGGACCACGAGCAUGACGGCACGGGUGUCCCAGGAGGCAGCGGUAGACCACGACGAGGAGGCUGACCGUGCUGAGGAGGUGACGGCCACACCAAACAGCCGCCGCUCAGGGUCUACCUUUUCCCCUAAAAGAAUAAAGAUAGAAAAAUUAAUUUAGGUUGGUAGUUACCAUAUUCACUACAGUGUCCUUGAUGAUGAAGAAGAAACUAUGGUAACAUAUUCCACUCAUGAAAUUCGACUUCUAAAUGUUUCAAACUUGCAAUGUUUGUACUAUUUAUUUCCACGAUUUUAACAGUUGUGCUUUUGUUAUGUUCACUUCAACGAUGAGUCUGAUUCCAUCAUAACCGAAGCCUAGAAGAUGUUGCCUAGUACAUUGAGGUGAAGAAUGGAAGAUGAUGCAUGCUUCUGCCUGUGAUCACUUGAUAUUGUGUGAUGCCAUUUUGUGAGAAACCAUGACUGAGAAAUGAUGUUGUGUUAUUGCUCUGGUCUGUGUGGUGUCUGGUCUUUAGUCUCUGGGUGUUGUGUUGCAUUGUCCCGCACGAGAUGCGAUGUAUAAGUUUCUUCCUGUUCUGCAGCUGUUGUUUUGGCAUGCUGGUACCUCUUUUCCUUACUAUAAUUGCAACUGUUAUUGGUA